ensembl:lncRNA
GCAUUAAUGUGGAACCCUAACCUGUAUUAUCAAGAUUUAUCAUAUUAUUCAUUGAAUUUGAGAAAAUCCUGUUUAUUGAUUUAAGCCUACUUUACUCUCCAAGUACCGUAUCCAGGGUGACCUAAUUGCAUAAUUCAGAAAAUUUGCACCUCUCCUUUCCCCAUGACCCUCCUUAAAAAAUGUCCAGACUUCAAAUUUCACAGGCCAAGUACAUCAAACCUAACUCAAAGCAAAUCAGGAUUAGAAUUCGUUUUCGAGCAGUGUAACAUAAAGCAAUGGGACACUGGAGCAGGACUCCCAUGUGGCGGCAUUUCUCAAAGUUCAGUAGAAGGGUAGCAACAAUUCCAGGAGCUCUACCUACCUUGAUGCCAACAUGUAUGCAUGUCUGUCUUCACAAUUAAUUAGUGUUUAAGCUUAAGGGUAUAGAUCAUGUUUCAUUGAACGUGUAUCUUUCAUGUAAUCUGGAAGGUUUUUUUUUUUUUAUGUGGUUACGUUUAUUUUUAAAACCUUGGGGCAUAUCAGAAUUCACAUAGAUCUAAGGACGAGGCACAGAGAGAAAGAGAUAGGUGGGAAGGUUGGGUCACAUCUUAUAAAUGUACACGGCUGCUUUUUCUAGGCAACCCACAUAAGCAACAAUUGCUUUCCUGAAAGAGUUAUGCUAUUUGUAGUUGCUACUGUCACAGUUUAACAAGGAGAGGGAGCUCUUAGAAGAUUCUCUAAAUUUGUUGCAAGAAAGUCACAGAAAGCUACCUUUCAAUGUCUGUUUGCUAUAGCUGAAGGGAAGACUGGUGGUAAACUGACCAACAACCAAAAUGAAAUAUGGAUAAACUGAGAGCAAGUAAACAAUAGGAGUUAAGAAGAUGAGGAUGUACGUGCCAAAGGGAGAGGGUAGAGAAACGAUUUCUAGCAUUCUAGGAGCUCCUGAUUUCCACGAUUGGACAAAAUUGGGAACUACUAAGAAGGUGUGGAGCUACUCACCACCUUCAUCAGAAGCUGUCAUAAUGGAAAUGGUGGAUUUAAGAUUCAGGAUUUACCUUCCAAUUCCAUAUGCUCUUUGACCACAUCCUAAGAAAGCUGUGAGAUUUCAGUAUCCCACUUUUAAGCAUUUGUUGUAAACAAGUCUGGCAGAUGGCCACAACACCUGGGACAAUUAAGCCCAAGGGAUGGUUGAGUAGUUUCUAAGGCAAGCAGAAUCUUCCAUCUGCUCAAAUGGCACUUUCGGGGUUUAAGCAAACCAGUGUUGGCUACUCAGGGUUGAUUCCCCUCACAAGCCUACUCUUCUGUCUUCAAAUACUUACUGGCUGCCCCUCUAAAAAGUAGAGAAAACAGGAAAGUAAAUAUUUACUCUAUUUCACAGCUGUCUAACUGUUGUAAAAUGGAUAACUUAGCUCUGCUGGGUUUAUCCUUAAGAAACAAGAUCAAACAGUUUUCAUGAAAUUCCGCUCACAUUUUAAAUGCAUGACUUAUUUUGGUUUAUUCUGUUCUAGAAUAUUCCAAAGCCAGAAUUAAAUGCUAAAGAAUCAGUUUGGCCAUUUAAAAGAUAUUGGUGCACUAUGUAACAGAUUGUGGCUACCAACAUUCUGAGUCAGUCUUUCCCCUCCAAAUGCCCUGCCUUCCCGUACACACAUCG